rnacentral:rRNA from 1 species
GGAGGAAAGCAGGGGAUCGCAAGACCUUGCGCUCAUUGAGCGGCCGAUGCCUGAUUAGCUAGUUGGUGAGGUAAAGGCUUACCAAGGCGACGAUCAGCAGCUGGUCUGAGAGGACGACCAGCCACACUGGGACUGAGACACGGCCCAGACUCCUACGGGAGGCAGCAGUGGGGAAUUUUGGACAAUGGGGGAAACCCUGAUCCAGCCAUGCUGCGUGAGUGAAGAAGGCCUUCGGGUUGUAAAGCUCUUUCAGCCGGAACGAAACGGUCACGGCUAAUACCUGUGACUACUGACGGUACCGGAAGAAGAAGCACCGGCUAACUACGUGCCAGCAGCCGCGGUAAUACGUAGGGUGCGAGCGUUAAUCGGAAUUACUGGGCGUAAAGCGUGCGCAGGCGGUUUUGUAAGUCAGAAGAGAAAUCCCCGGGCUUAACCUGGGAACUGCGU